rnacentral:rRNA from 1 species
UACAGAGGUCUCGAGCGUUGUUCGGAUUCAUUGGGCGUAAAGGGUGCGUAGGUGGCUAGGUAAGUCGGAUGUGAAAUCCCGGGGCUCAACCCCGGAACUGCAUUCGAUACUGCCUGGCUAGAGUACUGGAGAGGAGAUUGGAAUUUACGGUGUAGCAGUGAAAUGCGUAGAUAUCGUAAGGAAGACCAGUGGCGAAGGCGGAUCUCUGGACAGUUACUGACACUGAGGCACGAGGCCAGGGGAGCAAACGGG